GGGAGAUUGUGAUGUAACUUCUACUAUGAUGCACUCAUUGUUCUCUUGGUGAUGGGUCAAGCUCAGUGGGCAGUUUCAGUGACCCUACAGUAGAGGAAGGAUCUCAUGGGAGCAGAUGCAUGCUGCUUCAAUGGAGGGAAAGUUUGGGGAAACAAAAUGGGAGGAAACAAUUUCUUCUCACCCCCUCCCUUGCGACACCGUGCGGGCUCCUGGGACAGAUUUGAAAGGGAUCUUCCCAAUGAAAAGUGAUUGUAAUCUAUCCUUGAAAGAGCGAUGGAAAGCAAAAAGAAAUCCUUUAAAAAAAAACACAGGAAAGAAACUAAGAUUAAAUAAUCUGAUGUGAUGUAAGAAACUGAACAUGUUGCUCUGUAUUGAGAAGCAUAAAAGUUCUCAGGUAAGUGUUAUUGCCACACAGGUAAGUCCAAAGGAGCUAUUGCAAAUACGUAUCCUUUGGUUUGUUGGCUGAUCUGUUCAAUCACCGGAGAAACUGACAAUAUAAAAAUGUUUAUUGGAUCACCCAGUGGCUUUUUUGCAGAUUUGAAAUGGACCUUCCAAUCGAAAAAGAUCUAUAAUCCAUCUAUUCUCAAAAAAAGAGUUGAAAAGCUUAAGGAAAAGCAUAAUUUUCAGUAGGAUCAAGGAAGAAAGAAACUAAUAAGAACUAAUAUGUGACAGAAGAAAUGAAAGGUGCUGCACUGCUUUAAGAAGAGAAGCAGAAAACAUCACAGAUGGGCAUUGCCAGCAUGCCGGUAGGUCUAAAGGAGGUAACUUGUAUUGGUCAUUUUUCCUUACUGGCUGACCAAUCACUGGAGAAAUCUAUGACAUGUACAUACUUAUUUGACCAUUUAGUAACUUCUCUGCAGAGUGGAAAGGGGAUUUUCUGCAUUAAACAGAACUGUAAUCUUCCCAUUCUUCAAAGAGAGAGCUCAAACAACUAUAAAGAUAUAUGCAGGAUCAAGAAACAAUUUCGUAACCAGGGGUCUAGCAUAAUGUAAGAAAUAUAAGUUGCACUCUUGCAGGAAGAGUGAUGUAUGAAGCAUCAAAGAAGAGCAUCUCUGGUAGGUCUUGAAGAUGUCUCCCUGUCCCCCAAAACACAGGUACUUUGCUUCCUUUUCUUUGUAUCUAUAGUUUCUUCUCAAACCAAUAACUGAAAAUAUCAAUGUUUAAAGUUACUUGUUCAUUACAAUGUCUUCUUGCAGGUUGAAAAGGAAUUUCCCAAUUUUAAAGGAGCUGUAAUAUGCCCAUUCUUUAAAGAUACAAUCCCAUCCAGUGGCUACUCUUCACCUUAUCAGCGGAGCCUGGUGGGGAUGCCCAAGGAUGAAACAGACCACCCAGCAAGCCAAUCCCCCACAACAGCCCAAUCUCUACCUUGGCAUCAGCCAUGCUAAAAUCAUCACUCUCUCUGUUCUUCUGGUGUAUGUUCUAAACAGCUGAGACCCAUCAUCAGCCUUCUCUUAGUCCCCAGUAUUUGUCCUCCAUCUGAGCCUUGUUUUCUUUUCUCCAUUAACCACACUAAUCACCUCCCAGCUUUGCUCUCUUUCUAGAGAGCUUAUCCAUACUUCCUCUUGCCCCACUGUUUCCCCCCUUUGUGACACUUCUGGUUCCUCCAUUGUCCAGGUCCCACCUGCCUUUAACUAACUGAUCUCUGCACUGUCCUCCUUCCUGCCAGCUCCAGUCAACACCAGCUGCCACUGCAUCUAAUGAAUACUUGAGAGGGAAAGAUUAUAUUUUAAAAUAUUGAAGACAAUCCAUGAAAUCAAUCCAACUGUCUUAUGAAGCCAAGAGGCAGGUUUGUCGGCAGGAAUUUUAACAGCCCAGGUGUUUUCAUCUAGAUGGAAAGGAAUCAGGAACAGCUGAGAGGGCAUAUGGAAGGCAUUGAGAUGUCGCGUCUGGUGGAUGUAAGGAAGACUUUGGGCAUCAUACUGCAGGACCGAGUCUUAGACAAAGAUGUGCUUUUCCAAGUCCACGUUCCCAGCAUGUCCACACUCCUGUCUCAUUGAUGUCUACUCUGGCUUGAUCAUGUACACAGAAUAGAAGAUGGCAGAACCCCUAAGGACGUGCUCCACGCGGAGCUGUAUUCAGGCACCAGGCCUGUUGGCAGACCAACUAUGCGUCAUAAAGAUGUCUGCAAAUGUAACAUGAAGACUGGCAACAUUAACCCUACCAUGUGGGAAUCCUUUGCAGGUAACCACAGUGCCUGGAGACAGACAGACAGGUCACGAGAAGGAAUGCUAACUGGGAAGAGCGCGGGGAGAAGAAAUGCUAAGGUGCACCUGAAGACACUUUCAUCUGCCCCAACUGAAAUAAAGCAUACAUCAACAGGCA